UUGGAGGGCAAGUCUGGUGCCAGCAGCCGCGGUAAUUCCAGCUCCAAUAGCGUAUAUUAUAGUUGUUGCAGUUAAAAAGCUCGUAGUUGAAUUUCGGGGUUCUUCCGUUGGUCAGGCUAACAAGUCUGUACUAGCGUGUAGAAUCUCUACCUUCUGGGGAACCAUCAUGUUAUUAAUUUAGCGUGGUGGGAAACCAGGACCUUUACCUUGAAAAAAUUAGAGUGUUCAAAGCAGGCUUACGUCUGAAUACAUUAGCAUGGAAUAAUAAAAUAGGACGGUGGUCCUGUUUUGUUGGUUUCUGAAUCACCGUAAUGAUUAAUAGGGAUAGUUGGGGGCAUUAGUAUUCAAUUGUCAGAGGUGAAAUUCUUGGAUUUAUUGAAGACUAACUUCUGCGAAAGCAUUUGCCAAGGAUGUUUUCAUUAAUCAAGAACGAAAGUUAGGGGAUCGAAGACGAUCAGAUACCGUCGUAGUCUUGACCAUAAACUAUGCCGACUAGGGAUCGGACGAUGUUAAAUUUUAUUGACUCGUUCGGCGCCUUACGGGAAAC
rnacentral:rRNA from 1 species